GCAAGCAAGAAGUUAGCAUUGAUAAGAAAUAAGACUGAGAAUAAAAUGGAAAAAUAUUAUAAUGCCAUUAUGUAAAUUAGCGGUAUGGCCUCAUCUAGAAUCACAUGUACCAUGCUAGUCACCCCUUUUCAAAAAGGAUAUUACAGAAUAAGAGGAGGUUCAGAGAAAGAUUAGGGACACAAUAAAACUCUCAUAUGGUGAGAGACUGGGAUUCCUUCCGUUAGAGAGGAGAUGAAUAAGAAGGCACCCGAUAAAACUAUAUAACAUAGUUAAUGGUCUAUAAAAGGUAAAUAGGGAGGUUCUGUUCUCGUAACACAAGAACAAGAGGACAUUAAAUUAAACAGAAAAGUGGAAAAUUAAAAAGAGUUAUAAAAGGAAAUACUUUUUCACACAUACUGAUUGGACCAUGGAACUUAUUGCCACCUGAUAUCACUGAGGUCGUGAAGUUAGUGAGGUUCCAAAAAGGGCUGGAAACUUAUAUGGAUAACAAGUAUAUCCAGAGUUAUACGUGAUACUAGUUAAUCCAAAAAAUAAAUAAACAUUGAAAUUUACCCCUAACUCUUUGGAGUUAAUAUAAGACUGUGAUGGGGACAGAUUAUCCCAUAUCUGCCUACUAUGGGAUUUCUUGCAAUUUUCUCUGAAGCAUUUGGUGCUGGUUACAAUCAGAGACAGGAUACUGGACUAGACAGAUGACAGGCCUGAUCCAGUAUAGCAAUUUCUAUGUUCCUAUGGAUCGCCACAAUGCUUCCUGGCCCUUCAGCCUUCCCUGGACUCCAGUGGAACAUGGAACUAUGACAGUCCACAGUGCUGAUGGCUUGUGGACCCAGCCCCCCCUCCCCAACCCCAGAAUGCCAGGAGUACAGGUAGCGCACACCUCCCAGCCAGGGCCAUCGCAGGGUGGGACUGGAGCCCCAUGCAGAACAGGAAGCAGGGGGAUCUAAGGGUGGGGCCAUGCCUGGGUGUUUGAGGAGGCACAGCCUUCCCUGCCGUCCAUGGUGAUAUAGUCUCUAAUUACAUGAUCACUAAAGCUCUUUCUGCACAGCCCUGAAGUUCGGACUAUAAGGGUGCGAACUGCAGCACGCACUUGUGUGCUGCGCUAUAACUCCCCAGUGUGGAGGCUGCUGAGGAUAGCAGGUUGGUGGCAUUCUUCUCCUUUCAUCCAGCAUAGUGACAGUGUUCCUGUCCCUGCCUCUUAAAUCUGGAAGUACAUCAUGACAAGGACCUAUUUAAAUUCAACACUUUAAUAUGUGUCUUGCUCAUGUUAGACAGAAAGUGGUACCCAAAUAUAUAAACAGUGCGGAGCCAAAUUCUACCCUAACAUGGGCAUCCUCUCCCCCCUACUGAACAUAUCUGAAAUCAGAAUGUGGCCUUCAUAAUGGAUAAAUGGUGCAUGAGUGCAAACCCCUAAGAUACUGUGUGCUGUUAUGCCUGUUUACAGCACUAGAUAAACAGAAUACUGGACAGAGCAUACACCCCUGGAGCCACUAAGAACAUAUGGCAUAAUCCAAGACAGGUGUUUGCAAAUCCAAAUGAUCGCAUUAGGCUACAACCUGAAUGACAGCAGUAGGAUUUUGUAGUUUAUGUAGAACCCUAAAUUAAAUUGUCACUGUGAAUUUGUGGAAGGCACCUAAAUGGGGUGAAAGGGAGUUAUGAUUUCUUCUUGCAGGGUAGGAUGCAAUUUCUUCCAAUUACUUUAGCCUACAUUUUGCUUGAAGUAUAACUUUUAAAAACAUUUUUUAAAUGGUUACUUAGGUUUUUUAAAGAAAUGUGUCCAGCAGUGUGUCACUGGACUUUGGGGUCUCUGGAAUAUACAUAAGUUCUUUCCAGGAUGAAUCAUUUGAACACAUGCUGAAUAAUGGAAACCUGCUUGGAUUGAUGAAUUCAGAUUGGCUUUGGUAGCUGUCCAUUCUAAGUCAAUAGAUUAAUACACAUAAAUGAUCAAGUUUAGCUGAAACUACUGUUCAAUAUUGUAAACUGCCAACUUUAUAAUCCUUAAGCAAAAAAUAGUUUUUCUCCCCAACAAAGACUUUUUAUAAAAGCAAUAAGGUAACUGCAUGAAGUGUGCUUAUCAUGAUAUAAUCACACCCCAGGGGGAAUGAGAGGUGCUCGACUGUACCUCAUGCUUUGUAAUGACCCAGGGGUGUGAUUAUCUUAUGAUAACCACACUCCCUGUCAUGCCUUAUUGCAUAUAUAUUCCACAUGUCAUAAUGAAUCCUGAAGCACUUUCUAGGUCUCGUAGCAAAGGCAAUGACUUUGAAGUAUAGGAAGUAGCCAGAUUUUCUAGGUACAUACAGAUUAAUAUUGUAUACAUGAGGAGGAAUUAUGAAUGACUACUUAUCUGUACUAGCCAGGCCAUAGUUUUUAACUGUUUCUGGGAACUUUAGGUUUCACGUUAUGUUUUAUUGGUGCAUGUUAAAUUGUUCUAUCAAAAUGCAAUGUAAUAGCUAAGUAAAAUAUACCAUCAUAUUCUAGUACCAUCAAGGCAAUGACAUCUGUGACACAACUAGCUCAUACUUUCCUGGUAGGAUCAUCCUAUAGGAAAGGAUGUGAUUAUCUGGCUUUACUCUAGAAAUCAUUGUACUUUUAGUUACCCUUUAAUCAAGAAUUAUAGCCACUCUGGUUAUAGUGUUCUGAAUCUUGUGGUCCAGGUUUCACCAACGGUGAAAGAGAAAGGAAGGGUUGAUAGAACUGUCAGGAGUCCUUUUCAAUGGUGGCUGAAUAUCAGAUAGGCCUCUCUGCUUCUGGAGUUACAUCAGGAAGUUGUAUGUCAUCUGGAGACAUCUAUUUAGUUUUAAAAUCCUACACUUUAAUAGUAAAAAUAGUAUUACAUUCUAAUUAAAAUGAAUAGGGUUAAUGGGAGGUCCAUAAGGGAACUGGAAGACCAAGGUCAAGGGACUUCUGAAUUCACAAUUAUGGACUGACAUAAAAGGCAACAGGAUAAUAAACUAAGCAAUUAUCUUUGAUAUACCUUAUGAUAUAAUCGCACCACAGGGAGAAUCUGCACCUCCGGGAAUGGGUUUCUCAGCAAGUUUGCAACCUUGUUAAUCUGAUAUAUGUCGCAGUCAACAUUUACAUACUACUGUGCUGUGCGGGAAAACCUUCAGUACCGUUUCAUGCCUGUCAACAUAAAUUGGUAGAUAAGAUGAUGGCCUAUCAUUAUGACCACUGAUGGUUUGAUUCAUUGUCUGCAUCAGCUCUGAGAUCAGUCAAGUUAACUGUGGGUCACCAUAAGGAAAUCUGUGUCUAAACUAAAGCUUAUUUAGCUGUAUAGUGCACAAGUGGAAUAAUACUGAUUAUCAUAAAGGUCAGACAUGCACAUUUUAACGGUGGUAAUGAGUAGUUUUAAAGAUGUUUGAGCCUUUUCUUAAUCUUGCCGUGUCACAAGGCUUCUAUUGUUAUGCACCACAGAAUAUGCCUUUAAUUGUACCAUUUGCCCUAUUGUGUCUUGAUCACAGAGUGAGUAGUAUGAUGUUACUUGUGAUAACCGCCUACCACAUGUCCUGAUAAUUACUAGUCUUCAGUAAAUUGCACAGAGAAGUAACACAGAAGUCUGGUAAAACAAAAGGCUCCAAAAAGUUGAAAGCAAUAUUUAAAUAGUUUCAUGUAGUGUACCAUAUUGUGCUGAAUGUGUGAUGCCUCACAGUAAGGUAUAAAAAAUAAAUAACUCUCAAGCUUGAAUUAUAGAAACUGUAAAGAUACUAGAAAGCAUUUUAAGAAGUCUUAUAAUAAUUAAGAAUUAUUUUAGUUCUGUGGAUGGUCAGAUUGAAUUACCGAGGAAAUAUUGAAAAGAUACUGGAGACCCUGUGAUUCAUCAACAAAAUUAAUGCCUGUGGCAAAUUAUCUUAUGAACUAAGGACAUUCAUUGCAUGUAGAAAGUGGUUUUCACACACAGAUGUGCAAACAGUACUUAUGGUUUCCAAGGGAUGUGCUAUCUCAGUUUCACUUGUAACAGCUCUGAGUAAUUAGUUCCCCUAGUAUUUCAGAAAAAGAAGCUAGGUUGAAAAAUGACAAGUUCAGAUAAUUCGGAAUGGUAGUGUCCAUGAAAACCUCAACAGACAUGUAAAAUAAUCUCAGAAGAAUUCUAAUUGCUGUCAAUGGCUGGGGUAGUGGUCUGAGUGAACCAACCCCAUUUUGAACAUUUUCUUAAAAAGGUCUAUUUAAAUUUAACUUUAAAUAUAAUGCUCUUUAUUUUUAUAACCUAGCCAUGUAUGGAAACUUUUCCUUUAAAAGUGAGUAUACUUGAUAAAAGGAGUUUGGAGGAAGCAUUUGAUGUCAUGGAUUGAAGAACUGACUAGAACAUUCUUUAUACUGACUGCAGACAGUAAAGGCUGGAUGUGCUCAGCACCUUGUAGGAUUGAGCCCCCUAAUCCUGCAAAGAUUGACGAGGGUCCUUAGCUUUAAUCAGUAUGGGCUAGUUCAGAACUCAAAGACAUGGAUUUCCUACUGAGUGCUGAGAUCUGCUGCCAGGAAUGGCUGCUUUCCAAGAAAAUGUGCUACCUUUUCAAGAUAAGUGUUCUCAGGUGAAAGAAUGUCUUCACUGCUGAAUAUGUUUGCUUGCAACAUUUUUAGCAAUAUGAAAUCUUCCAAAUAUUUAAUUUAACCAAGCUGUCCAACAUAAAAAUAAUGGGGAAAGAAAAACCUUGAUGGCUCAGAACUCUAAUCCUUUCUAGCGCUAGUGGUGUGCUCUGCUGAGGACUGUGAUUCCAAUCAGUAUACUGCUCUCAAAGCUGGGAAACAGACUAGCAGGACUAGUACUGCAAGGCAAGUUUCAAGUUAGGUCGCUCAACAAAAAGGCUUAUUUUUUUUAAUUACAGAUAUUGCUUUUCCCUAGGGAAGGAAUUCUGGGACAAUACUGGUGCAUACUGGGAAAUUUUAGGUCAUAGUAUUAUCUACAUAGCCCAUUACGGACUAGUGAAAAGGCUAUUUUGGAGCAUAAUGGAAAGUGACUUCUUUUUUUUUUUUUUUUUUUUUUUUUGCUGUUACGUUUACUCAGCCAUCUGGUCUAAGCAUCCCUGAUGGUGCUGUAAAGUCAGGAAAAAUGUUACAUUCAUUUUGGAGGAUUCCUGAGGAAAACUGAAAACAUGUUCAAAGGCAAAUAGCAGUUUCAAGGAUGUCUUUGACACUCCGUACCACUUCUCAAAGUGCAGGGCUGCUGCAGUGAAAAGAUUGCCUAUGUGAUGUGUACCUGAAAUUAAUAUCUUAGGAUUUGAUAAAAAGGCACCAGCUCUUAGAGUUGGGGGCAUUUUCUCUCCCCAAGGAACCAAGAUUUCUAUUGAACAGAUUCUGUUGGACUACUGGACAUUCUGUUCCCCUGCUUCCACCGUCCAAUGCCAAACAAAUGUUCUAAUGUUGUCCUUGAAAUCCCGACAAGUGGAAGCCAUCAGAAAGAAUGAGAUAGAGCUCCAAGGACUGUAAAAAUCUUCACAAGAGGCCCUUAUUAACAUUGCUCCUGUACCUUAAGAUCGGAAAUUAUACCUUCUGAUUCAGUACAGGCUUCUGCAGAUCAUUUGUGGAGAUAUAAGUAAGGAGCUUCCGUUAAAAAGAGGAAUACUACUUUGCAAAAUCUCUCAAGAGAACCUGAGCUUUUUCACAGUAAAGAAGAAAUGUCAGUGAAAGUAGAUGGUGAAUGUGUGCAUGUGCAUGUAUGUUGUGAGGAGGGGGAGAAAGGAUGUAGGCAGACUCUAGAAUUUUUACAUUUCAAAUGUCUUUUGGAAAUCACUUGUAUACUCUAAAACACAAUCCCUAACUCUUCCCAUGCUAUUAAAAAUGGUCUGCAUACAAAGCUGUAAAAAAAAUUGAUUUGGCAAAAGCUGUUUUAAGUGGUUGCUGGCUUCAAGGAUGCACUAGCUCCAGCUCUAGGUCCAGCGUGAAGGGGAGGAUAUUUAUCUGUUAUGUAUGUGGUAGGCUGAUAGUAAAAUGGAAUAUGUAUCUUCUCUGA